rnacentral:lncRNA from 1 species
GUCGGCACCUGUGCAUUCUGCUCCUUCUCCAGGAGGCACCUGUGCUCCUGUCUGAGGAGCCCCAGCAGGCCCCGCUGGUUGUGGGAGGCACACUGUGGAUGAAGGAGGUGCUGUGCACACAGAGCCAGUCGCGCGGCUGCAGGGCCCGGGGGACAUGUUGUGUCUUCAUGAACCAUGGAGGUCCCUCACCUUCCAGAUGCAGUACAAGGAGAAAGGAAGGAAGACUGAUGCUUGUGACACAUCCCUGGUGGCCAUGUGGAGAGGUGAAUAGAACAAUCUAGAACCAGUUGUUCACUGCGUUCAAUUAUGUGAAGCACGUAACGUGUCUUAUUUUCUUUGUGCAAAUUGUGUAACUGAGACACCAUGGGAUGGAUUUUACGAUGUCAGAUUUGCUCGGC